rnacentral:rRNA from 1 species
GUAGGUGGCAAGCGUUGUCCGGAAUUAUUGGGGCGUAAAGCGCGCGCAGGCGGUUCCUUAAGUCUGAUGUGAAAGCCCACGGGCUCAACCGUGGAGGGUCAUUGGAAACUGGAGAACUUGAGUACAGAAGAGGAAAGCGGAAUUCCACGUGUAGCGGUGAAAUGCGUAGAGAUGUGGAGGAACACCAGUGGCGAAGGCGGCUUUCUGGUCUGUAACUGACGCUGAGGCGCGAAAGCGUGGGGAGCAAACAGGAUUAGAUACCCUGGUAGUCCACGCCGUAAACGAUGAGUGCUAAGUGUUAGGGGGUUUCCGCCCCUUAGUGCUGCAGCUAACGCAUUAAGCACUCCGCCUGGGGAGUACGGCCGCAAAGGCUG